rnacentral:lncRNA from 1 species
UGAGUUGUUCGGGAAACUUCACUUCUUGGGCAGCAGCUCACCUAAAUAGUCUUUCAGUUUAAGAGAUGUAGUGUAAUGGUGAAAGAAGACUAUUAUUAUCAGUACACACUUUCGAUGAGAGACAGAAGAUGAUAAAAGCAUCACAAGCCAAAGGAAGAUAACUCAUAUACACAACUCUGUUAUGGGUGAAACACAGCGGCAGAGUCCUUCAGAAAAUUUUAAAAAAUAAUUUGAAUAGAAGCGCAAAUCGAUUAAUAAGUUAAUAAGUUAUAUAUUUUCAUUAUAAAGAGCGAACAUAAACAAGUACAAAGCCACUAUGAUGUAAAAG